rnacentral:rRNA from 1 species
GACGAACGCUGGCGGCAUGCCUAACACAUGCAAGUCGAACGAUGGCUUCGGCCAUAGUGGCGCACGGGUGCGUAACGCGUGGGAAUCUGCCCUUGGGUUCGGAACAACCGUUGGAAACGACGGCUAAUACCGGAUGACGUCGAUAAGACCAAAGAUUUAUCGCCCGAGGAUGAGCCCGCGUAGGAUUAGCUAGUUGGUGUGGUAAGAGCGCACCAAGGCGACGAUCCUUAGCUGGUCUGAGAGGAUGAUCAGCCACACUGGGACUGAGACACGGCCCAGACUCCUACGGGAGGCAGCAGUGGGGAAUAUUGGACAAUGGGCGAAAGCCUGAUCCAGCAAUGCCGCGUGAGUGAUGAAGGCCUUAGGGUUGUUAAGCUCUUUUACCCGGGAUGAUAAUGACAGUACCGGGAGAAUAAGCCUCGGCUAACUCCGUGCCAGCAGCCGCGGUAAUAC